ensembl:sense_intronic Gm14040 predicted gene 14040
AGGAAGAGGCCAGGAGAGAAGUCGAAGAAGGAACAAAGCUUGGAGUGGAAAAUCUGAUGGAGAAUUCAAGUGUCAGGGUCAUCUGACCAGCAUCCUGACUCCACUGGCUCACAGUGUGAGGCUGUGGAGGCUGCUGCUCUUCUCGGAACCUUUCUCUUGGGUCCUGAGACACUGGUUAGCACAAGCUGCACACAGUACUCAGCAGGGUUCCUGCUCGCUAUCGAAAGCCAUACUAUACUGCUGAAGAAAGUCGAGGCAGAAUCCUGGAGCCAGGAGUUGAUGCAGAGACCAUAGAAGAUUGCUGCUUACUGGCUUGCUCCCAGUGGCUUGUUCAGCCUGCUUUCCUAAAGAUCCCUGGAUCACCAGCUAAGGGUGGCCACACCCACAAUGACCUGGACCCCUCCUACAUCAAUCAAUAAUUAAGAAAAUGUCUUUCAGGCUUCCCCUUUCUCAUUGGAGGGAUUUUCUCAGUUGAGAUUCCCUCUUUCAGAUAACUCUACCUUGUGUAAAGUUGACGUAGGACUAGCCAGGCAAAGAGGGCUAAGAGCACCAUCUACUAUCUCAGGUGGUAUCCAGAUACCUGAAAUAUAACUGUACCAACAUACCUGGACAGGGCUUCUAAUACAGGCAAGUAAGCAAGAGUCUUCAAGUGUUGGAUGGAAGAAUUCUUUGGUGUGUCUCAGCAUGUGUGUGUGUG